rnacentral:rRNA from 1 species
GGGGCUCCUUCGGGAGCACCGGCGGACUGCUCAGUAACACGUGGACAACCUACCCUCGGGUGGGGGAUAACCUCGGGAAACUGAGGCUAAUACCCCAUAGGCCUCGGAUACUGGAAGGUUCCGAGACCGAAAGCUCCGGCGCCCGAGGAUGGGUCUGCGGCCUAUCAGGUAGUUGGUGGUGUAAAGGACCACCAAGCCUACGACGGGUACGGGCCCUGAGAGGGGGAGCCCGGAGAUGGACUCUGAGACACGAGUCCAGGCCCUACGGGGCGCAGCAGGCGCGAAACCUUCGCAAUGCGCGAAAGCGCGACGAGGGGAGCCCGAGUGCCCUUCCUUUCGGGAGGGCUUUUCUGGAGCCUAAAAAGCUCCAGGAAUAAGGGCUGGGCAAGACGGGUGCCAGCC